rnacentral:lncRNA from 1 species
GAAAGGGGGUGGAGCUGGGGAUGGAUGGAACCAGGGAUGGAGCCCAGGGUGGGGACUGGGAUGGAUGGAGCCGGAGAUCAGGAUGGAACUGGGAACGGAGCUGGGUUGUUGCCAGGCCCUGAAGUGAAAGCCAAAACUUCCCGGUGGAGAUCCCAGAAGCUCCCGCAGGGCAGGGGGAGCUGCCAGGGAGCAGGAGGAGCUGGGAAAUGUCCCGCUG